rnacentral:rRNA from 1 species
UGCAAUGAUCGGCUGCAGAGACGGGGCUGGGAAAACGCCUACUUCUGGCAGCUCUGCAAUCGGAACCUCGAGACGUCGGUGCACCUCUUCUGGGAGUGCACGAUGGCCAGAGAGGUUUGGCAACGUGCAGCGGCAUGGAAGGGAUGUGCCGCCCUGUGCCCUGCGGGCUGGUCACCGCCCAGUUCGACCAUGGAGGUGGUGGCCAUGAUCGCAAACAAGACGGAGCCGGGCCACAGGAGAGGGAUACUGUCGCUAACCGCCCUAAUCUCUUGGCGCAUUUGGCUGGAGCGAAACUGCUGCACCUUCAAGAACAAGCAGCCAAGCGCCAGCGACAUCAUCGGCUCUAUCAGAUGCGACCUGGAACAAUGGCGCCUUGCCGGCGCAGCCUGUUUGGAGACCCCUUUCGGGGACCAAACGUGA